AAAAAUUUGGCGGUAUUUUAGUCUAUUCAGAGGAACCUGUUCUAUAAUUGAUAAUCCACGAUGGACCUUACUUAAAUUUGUAAUCAGUUUAUAUACCGUCGUUAUUAGAAUAUUUUAUAAGAAUGUUAAUUUUCAAAAUUUUAAAAAAGAAAAUAUAUCAGAUCAAGGUGUAGCUAAUAUUUAAGUAGAAAUGGGUUACAAUAAAAAUAUUUAAAUGGAUAUAAAUUUGAAAUAUUUAUUGAAGGUGGAUUUGAUAGUAAAAUUAUAAAGAUUAAUAAUUUGAUUUUAGCUCUAAAAUAUGUACACAUCGCCCGUCACUCUUAUUAUUAAGGUAAGAUAAGUCGUAACAUAGUAGAUGUACUGGAAAGUGUAUCUAGAAUGCAAUUUAAAGCUUAUUUAGUAAAGUAUUUCAUUUACAUUGAAAAGAUUUUUGUGCAAAUCAAUAUAAAUUGAUUUAGAUUUUAUUUAUUAAUUUUUUUUUAUAAAAAAAUGAAUUAUUAAAAAUAAUUUUAAAGUUAAUUGUUUUAGUAUUUAUUAAAGAAAAAAUAAUAUUAAUUAUAGUUUAAUAGUAUUGUGAAAGAAAGUUGAAAUAA
rnacentral:rRNA from 1 species